UUGAAUUUUAAUGAAGAGUUUGGUUGUAGCUGGCCCAUUCAUUUGGGCAUGUGCACACCUUCCUCUUUCAUCCCACACACACCUGUGAACCUGUGAGACAGAGAUGGGGAAUUUACUUGCUGCUCUUUGGAAUACAAAGGCAAUAGGUUAUUGGACCCCCCCUCUGUCUACUCAAUUAAUAUAAACUCAAUUUAUUUUAAAACGAAUGUAAUGAAUGUAACACAUCUCAUAC
rnacentral:misc_RNA from 1 species